UGUGAAGCUAUGCUACAAUGGGGUGAAAUGAAAUGCUGAAUACCUCAAGAUAGAUCCUUAGCUGUUGAGGAUCACUUCAUCCUCUGUACUCAAAUAAUUGCCGAGAAAUAUUUAGAAAGCUAUAAAGGCAAACGGUUAUUGUAUAAUAUAUAGUUCUUCUUCUUAAAUCAUUCCUGCAUUAAUUUUUAAGAUAAUUCAUAUUUUACUACA
rnacentral:misc_RNA from 1 species